UACGUAGGGCGCAAGCGUUGUCCGGAAUUAUUGGGCGUAAAGAGCUCGUAGGCGGCUUGUCACGUCGGGUGUGAAAGCCCGGGGCUUAACCCCGGGUCUGCGGUGGGUACGGGCAGACUAGAGUGAUGUAGGGGAGACUGGAAUUCCUGGUGUAGCGGUGAAAUGCGCAGAUAUCAGGAGGAACACCGAUGGCGAAGGCAGGUCUCUGGGCAUUAACUGACGCUGAGGAGCGAAAGCAUGGGGAGCGAACAGG
rnacentral:rRNA from 1 species